rnacentral:sRNA from 1 species
AAGAAAGUGACUGCUGCCCCGCACAGGGGCAGUGCUAAUAGACCGAUAAGAAAACAAGUUUCACGAAAUCCCAGGCAAACGAACCAACCCAACAUCCCCCCAUGCAACGCCC